UAGCUAGUUGGUGAGGUAAAGGCUUACCAAGGCGACGAUCUGUAGCGGGUCUGAGAGGAUGAUCCGCCACACUGGAACUGAGACACGGUCCAGACUCCUACGGGAGGCAGCAGUGGGGAAUUUUGGACAAUGGGGGCAACCCUGAUCCAGCCAUGCCGCGUGAGUGAAGAAGGCCUUCGGGUUGUAAAGCUCUUUCGGCCGGGAAGAAAUCGCAUGGGCCAAUACCCUGUGUGGAUGACGGUACCGGAAUAAGAAGCACCGGCUAACUACGUGCCAGCAGCCGCGGUAAUACGUAGGGUGCGAGCGUUAAUCGGAAUUACUGGGCGUAAAGCGUGCGCAGGCGGUUUUGUAAGACAGGCGUGAAAUCCCCGGGCUUAACCUGGGAACUGCGUUUGUGACUGCAAGGCUAGAGUACGGCAGAGGGGGGUGGAAUUCCACGUGUAGCAGUGAAAUGCGUAGAGAUGUGGAGGAACACCAAUGGCGAAGGCAGCCCCCUGGGUCGAUACUGACGCUCAUGCACGAAAGCGUGGGUAGCAAACAGGAUUAGAUACCCUGGUAGUCCACGCCCUAAACUAUGUCAACUAGGUGUUGGGUGGGUAAAACCAUUUAGUACCGUAGCUAACGCGUGAAGUUGACCGCCUGGGGAGUACGGCCGCAAGGUUAAAACUCAAAGGAAUUGACGGGGACCCGCACAAGCGGUGGAUGAUGUGGAUUAAUUCGAUGCAACGCGAAAAACCUUACCUACCCUUGACAUGCAGGAACUUGCCAGAGAUGGCUUGGUGCCCGAAAGGGAGCCUGGACACAGGUGCUGCAUGGCUGUCGUCAGCUCGCGUCGUGAGAUGUUGGGUUAAGUCCCGCAACGAGCGCAGCCCUUGUCGUUAAUUGCCAUCAUUUAGUUGGGCACUUUAACGAGACUGCCGGUGACAAACCGGAGGAAGGUGGGGAUGACGUCAAGUCCUCAUGGCCCUUAUGGGUAGGGCUUCACACGUCAUACAAUGGUCGGUACAAAGGGUUGCCAAGCCGCGAGGCGGAGCCAAUCCCAGAAAGCCGAUCGUAGUCCGGAUUGCAGGCUGCAACUCGCCUGCAUGAAGUCGGAAUCGCUAGUAAUCGUGGAUCUGCAUGUCACGGUGAAUACGUUCCCGGGUCUUGUACACACCGCCCGUCACACCAUGGGAGCGGGUUCCGCCAGAAGUAGGUAGCCUAACCGCAAGGGAGGCGCUUACCACGGCGGGGUUCGUGACUGGGGUGAAGUCGGAACAAGGUAGCCGUAGGGGAACCUGCGGCUG
rnacentral:rRNA from 1 species